rnacentral:rRNA from 1 species
UACAGAGACUGCAAGCGUUAAUCGGAAUUACUGGGCGUAAAGCGUGCGCAGGCGGUUUUGUAAGCCAGAUGUGAAAUCCCCGGGCUUAACCUGGGAAUGGCAUUUGGGACUGCAAGGCUGGAGUUUGGCAGAGGAGACUGGAAUUCCUGGUGUAGCAGUGAAAUGCGUAGAUAUCAGGAGGAAUACCGAUGGCGAAGGCAGGUCUCUGGGCUAUAACUGACGCUCAUGCACGAAAGCGUGGGGAGCAAACAGG